CCGAGAGUGAAGGGAGCACUUGAAAUGAUUAUCCGUUGGGUUGAUUCUGGUGGAGCCUACUGUUGAGUAUUCUGAGGAUCUCGCUGCUGUGGCCCAGUUUCCCAUCAGCUUCUCCUGUUGACUCUUUCUCUUUGGACAAGUGUGGAAGAGCAUCUUCACUAGAGUCCCUUUGUGAACCUGCCUGGUGGUUCUUUCAUUCAUUCAUAGAAGCAAUCUCUCGUAGCAUCUACUGCAAUACCUACAGUUAUUGAGCUCUUGCUGCUCAUUAUAUGCCAAUUCUGUUCUAAGCUUUGUACAUUUUCAUUAAAUCUUGAUGGUACGUAUUUUUAUUAUCUCUGUAUUCCAGGGAACUCAGGCACAGGGAGAAGUAAAUAACUCGUGGCAGACCUGGUAGUAGACUAUAAAAAGCCAUUUACACACUCCUACUCCACUGCCAACUCUACUCCAGAUGCCCACUUUCCCAGCCUCCUCUGCAGGACACGGAGGUGCUGAACACAGCUGUCCUCACCGGGAAGGCCGUGUCGGUUCCUGUCAAGGUCGUGGGCAUUCAGGAGGACGGCUCCGUGGUGGACGUGUCAGAGGCUGUGGAGUGCAGGUCUGCGGACGAAGAUGUUGUGAAGGUACAAGGGUCCUGACCAUCGGGCCUGCCAGGGGUCUGGUCCUCUGAGGGCCCUUCACUCUGUCCCAGGGUCUCAUUGGGCUGGAGCGAGGGUGACA
ensembl:lncRNA